rnacentral:rRNA from 1 species
CGGUCCGCUAAGACAGAUGUGAAAUCCCCGAGGCUUAACCUGGGAACUGCAUUUGUGACUGGCGGGCUAGAGUAUGGCAGAGGGGGGUAGAAUUCCACGUGUAGCAGUGAAAUGCGUAGAGAUGUGGAGGAAUACCGAUGGCGAAGGCAGCCCCCUGGGCCAAUACUGACGCUCAUGCACGAAAGCGUGGGGAACAAACAGGAUUAGAUACCCUGGUAGUCCACGCCCUAAACGAUGUCCGCUAGUAGUCGGGUCUUCAUUGACUUGGUAACGUAGCUAACGCGUGAAGUUGACCGCCUGGGGAGUACGGUCGCAAGAUUAAAACUCAAAGGAAUUGACGGGGACCCGCACAAGCGGUGGAUGAUGUGGAUUAAUUCGAUGCAACGCGAAAAACCUUACCUACCCGUGACAUGUAUGGAAUCCUGCUGAGAGGUGGGAGUGCCCGAAAGGGAGCCAUAACACAGGUGCUGCAUGGCUGUCGUCAGCUCGUGUCGUGAGGUGUUGGGUUAAGUCCCGCAACGAGCGCAACCCUUGUCCCUAGUUGCUACGCAAGAGCACUCUAGGGAGACUGCCGGUGACAAACCGGAGGAAGGUGGGGAUGACGUCAAGUCCUCAUGGCCUUUAUGGGUAGGGCUUCACACGUCAUACAAUGGUCGGAACAGAGGGUCGCCAACCCGCGAGGGGGAGCCAAUCCCAGAAAACCGAUCGUAGUCCGGAUCGCACUCUGCAACUCGAGUGCGUGAAGCUGGAAUCGCUAGUAAUC